ensembl:snRNA U6 U6 spliceosomal RNA
UUGCUUCCGCAGCACAUACACUAACAUUGGAAAGCUAAAGAGAAGAUCAGCAUGACCCCUACAGAAGGAUGACAUGCACACUCGUGACGCGUUCCAUAUUUUU